AGUGAACGCUGGCGGUAGGCCUAACACAUGCAAGUCGAACGGCAGCACAGUAAGAGCUUGCUCUUACGGGUGGCGAGUGGCGGACGGGUGAGGAAUACAUCGGAAUCUACUUUUUCGUGGGGGAUAACGUAGGGAAACUUACGCUAAUACCGCAUACGACCUACGGGUGAAAGCAGGGGAUCGUCGGACCUUGCGCGAUUGAAUGAGCCGAUGUCGGAUUAGCUAGUUGGCGGGGUAAAGGCCCACCAAGGCGACGAUCCGUAGCUGGUCUGAGAGGAUGAUCCGCCACACUGGAACUGAGACACGGUCCAGACUCCUACGGGAGGCCGCAGUGGGGACUCUUGGACAAUUGGCUCAAGCCUGAUCCAGCCCUACCGCGUGGGUCAAGAAGGCCUUCGGGUUGUAAAGCCCUUUUGUUGGGAAAGAAAAGCAGCAGGUUAAUACCCCGCUGUUCUGACGGUACCCAAAGAAUAAGCACCGGCUAACUUCGUG
rnacentral:rRNA from 1 species